CUCAGGCCAGUGAGCGCUUCCCAGAACCCCUGCCUCCAGUGCCCCUGUCUCCUCAGUGAGCCACAGCCACCCCCCACCUCUGCCGGCAACCCUCUAACACCAGCAGGGAACAAUGAACAAAUGAGUGGCAAAUUGAAGAGAAUGAAGAUUUGGAGUGAAUUUGUGACUGAUGACAAACAGCAUGGAUGCUCUACCAUGAACACAGGGGUGUAGUAGUGAAUAAAUAAAUUAAAACUUGAAAUUCCUUCUACUGCGGCUCAGGAAGGAUGUAUGCAGGCAAAUAGGCAAUGGCCCUGUGCCAGCUGCCAGGAGAGACCGUCUGACCAUGGGAGACUGAUGCCUGCUAUAGAAGCUGAUCUUGCAAUGUCUCUUCUUUAU